GGAAAACCAAUAGACCAACAGAAGAUCCAACUGCUGCUGAUGACUGUGAAACUCCAGAGUGUGAAAACGAGCGUCUUGCUGCAGUGAAGGAGUGUGCAGACUGCACUUACCAGAGCCUCUGUGUGGACAACAUGGACCCAAACCAAACCUACACUUCCAUCCGAGACCAAGUGAUUUAAUGGACAUUUAUUAGGCUAGAAUUGUCAAAUCUUGUCAAAAUCCUGGUGUAUUAUGGAUAUUGGAGGGGAGUAAUCUGAAUGUAGCUCAUGUCAUUACACUUUUACUACUGUACAGGCUGAAGGGCAAAAAUACCCACAGACAAGGGUGGAAAGUAACAAAUUACAUUUCCUCCCAUUACUGUAAUUGAGUAGUUUUUUAUGAAUAAUUUGUAAUUUUUUAAGUAGUUUUUGAAAUAAAUGUUACUUCAUGACAUUGGA